rnacentral:rRNA from 1 species
GCCUAAAGCGUCCGUAGCCGGCUUUGUAAGUUUUCGGUUAAAUCUAUAUGCUCAACAUAUAGGCCGCCGGGAAUACUGCAAAGCUAGGGAGUGGGAGAGGUAGACGGUACUCCGUAGGAAGGGGUAAAAUCCUUUGAUCUAUGGAUGACCACCUGUGGCGAAGGCGGUCUACCAGAACACGUUCGACGGUGAGGGAUGAAAGCUGGGGGAGCAAACCGGAUUAGAUACCCGGGUAGUCCCAGCUGUAAACUAUGCAAACUCAGUGAUGCAUUGGCUUGUGGCCAGUGCAGUGCCGCAGAGAAGUCGUUAAGUUUGCCGCCUGGGAAGUACGUACGCAAGUAUGAAACUUAAAGGAAUUGGCGGGGGAGCACCACAAGGGGUGAAGCCUGCGGUUCAAUUGGAGUCAACGCCAGAAAUCUUACCCGGAGAGACAGCAGGAUGAAGGUCAAGUUGAAGCCUUUACCAGACAAGCUGAGAAGUGGUGCAUGGCCGUCGCCAGCUCGUGCCGUGAGGUGUCCUGUUAAGUCAGGUAACGAGCGAGAUCCCUGCCUCUAGUUGCCACCAUUGCUCUCAGGAGCAAUGGGGCGAAUUAGCGGGACUGCCGCAGUUAAUGCGGAGGAAGGAGGGGGCCACGGCAGGUCAGUAUGCCCCGAA